GUCUGGAGGGGGCCUGGGGCCAUAUGCACCUGUGAAGGCAGAAGAACAGGUUCCAUAGAGAGUCAUAAUUAAUUAGGAGCACCUGAGAGCUUUCUAAGUGAAGACGCAUCCUCGGGCAAAAAGACAGCACUCCAACCUGACAUCUGGUCUGAGCUGAGAGAUCUGAGAGACAUGGUGGUGCUGCAGAGAGCAGAGCUGAGCCGCACCAUGGCUGAACUACGAGAUACUAAGAACCAGAUGGAGGGGCUAAAAACAGAGAUCUCAGUCAUGGAGUCCAGGCUGAUGAGUUCUGAAGGACAACUUGAGGCAAUGAAGACAGACAUGCAGCCAUAGUGAGCAGAGUAACAUCCGCUGAGAGUGAGGUUGAGAGACUACAGAAGGAGAAUGCAGAGAGACCUAAGGUCGCAUUUUCAACCUCUUUUGGAAAAACUGGACAGCAUGGGCCAUUCCACACUGCCACCACCGUGGUCUUCCAGAAUAUAUUCUCAAACACUGGCAACCACUACAACCAAGCUACAGACAGCCCUUACAGAAUUACCCACCAACAAAGGACCAAGCAGCGGAAGAAGGCUGGCGAGGUAAGGGAAACCGGGAGGCACCCCCAAGACAUUUUUAGGGGGGGGCACAAGGGGAGUUUUGCGGGGCAAGAAUGGAGCCCCAGGCCAGCUCCCCGCACUAGCAUGGAGGUGCGUGUUCGCAAUCUGGUACGCCCAGCACCAGCACCACGCACCAGGAGUCUAGUGUGUCAACCCAGCCUCGCCAGUCAACAGUCGUCAUCAGAGCUGCCCGCCAGUCAACAGUCGUCAUCAGAGCUGCCCGCCAGUCAACAGUCGUCAUCAGAGCUGCCCGCCAGU
rnacentral:lncRNA from 1 species